GGGAAGGCAGCAGGAAAAGUAAUCGGGUUGCUCCGCCUGCAUUCUGCCCCUGUGGAGGAGACCUCUGGUUCUGCAACUGCCUGGGAGAGUCUAAGUCGGUGAUGGAGAGUUAACUGGCCUGGUGGACACAUACCUACCAUGUCCUGCAAUCUAGCUUAAAGCUUACACUUUAAGAAACAGAAUAACAAGAAUAGAUUCUAGAGCUGAGUUUAAAC
rnacentral:lncRNA from 10 species